rnacentral:rRNA from 1 species
GACGAACGCUGGCGGCGUGCCUAAUACAUGCAAGUAGAACGCUGAAGAGAGGAGCUUGCUCUUCUUGGAUGAGUUGCGAACGGGUGAGUAACGCGUAGGUAACCUGCCUGGUAGCGGGGGAUAACUAUUGGAAACGAUAGCUAAUACCGCAUAAAAUGGAUUAUCGCAUGAUAAUCCAUUGAAAGGUGCAAAUGCAUCACUACCAGAUGGACCUGCGUUGUAUUAGCUAGUUGGUGGGGUAACGGCUCACCAAGGCGACGAUACAUAGCCGACCUGAGAGGGUGAUCGGCCACACUGGGACUGAGACACGGCCCAGACUCCUACGGGAGGCAGCAGUAGGGAAUCUUCGGCAAUGGACGGAAGUCUGACCGAGCAACGCCGCGUGAGUGAAGAAGGUUUUCGGAUCGUAAAGCUCUGUUGUAAGAGAAGAACGAGUGUGAGAGUGGAAAGUUCACACUGUGACGGUAUCUUACCAGAAA